CUUCGUCUUCUUCUCCAACUGGUUUCCAUCCAAAUCUUUCGUCUCACUUGAUUUGGAAACACUCUGGGUUCCAGCUCCCACUGUAGCUUUGACUUGUAAAAGCCCCUUCUUUUGGUUGUUUGCUUUGCUUCUAAAAUGGUAAUUGAAAUGUAUACAAGGCGAGGAUUCUAUUGGAAUAUCCUUAGAAACGGAAACUGGAAACUGAGUUCCUGAGAAAAGAAUUGCUGAAGGCCUUUGAAACAAACUUGCUGCCAUUCUUCUACCAAAAAAAGAAAAGACUUUUCAACUUUUAAGGCCAAAAAACCAAGAAAUUUGGCUUUGCUUAUGUUCAAGGUAAAUGGAACAGAUAGAUACUGGACAUGGA
rnacentral:lncRNA from 1 species